GUGCGUAGAUAAUGUCACAGGUGUCCAGGUGUGUAAAGGUGCGUAGAUAAUGUCACAGGUGUCCAGGUGUGUAAAGGUGCGUAGAUAAUGUCACAGGUGUCCAGGUGUGUAAAGGUGCGUAGAUAAUGUCACAGGUGUCCAGGUGUGUAAAGGUGCGUAGAUAAUGUCACAGGUGUCCAGGUGUGUAAAGGUGCGUAGAUAAUGUCACAGGUGUCCAGGUGUGUAAAGGUGCGUAGAUAAUGUCACAGGUGUCCAGGUGUGUAAAGGUGCGUAGAUAAUGUCACAGGUGUCCAGGUGUGUAAAGGUGCGUAGAUAAUGUCACAGGUGUCCAGGUGUGUAAAGGUGCGUAGAUAAUGUCACAGGUGUCCAGGUGUGUAAAGGUGCGUAGAUAAUGUCACAGGUGUCCAGGUGUGUAAAGGUGCGUAGAUAAUGUCACAGGUGUCCAGGUGUGUAAAGGUGCGUAGAUAAUGUCACAGGUGUCCAGGUGUGUAAAGGUGCGUAGAUAAUGUCACAGGUGUCCAGGUGUGUAAAGGUGCGUAGAUAAUGUCACAGGUGUCCAGGUGUGUAAAGGUGCGUAGAUAAUGUCACAGGUGUCCAGGUGUGUAAAGGUGCGUAGAUAAUGUCACAGGUGUCCAGGUGUGUAAAGGUGCGUAGAUAAUGUCACAGGUGUCCAGGUGUGUAAAGGUGCGUAGAUAAUGUCACAGGUGUCCAGGUGUGUAAAGGUGCGUAGAUAAUGUCACAGGUGUCCAGGUGUGUAAAGGUGCGUAGAUAAUGUCACAGGUGUCCAGGUGUGUAAAGGUGCGUAGAUAAUGUCACAGGUGUCCAGGUGUGUGAACUGAAGCACAAUGUAUCAUUCAUAGCCAAACGUGAGAAUCCCAGCCAACGCGUCAUACUUGCGCUGCAGACAUAUGGAUUUACUCUACACAGAACCAGACCUAUGCAGCAGGUAUUUCACAUGCAGGUGAAUCAGAGUACUUACAUUUGUUUUCUAUUGUAAGACACACACUUUUAAAAAUGUUAAUCAGAGUUAAAUACUACAGGGUAUUUCUAGCUCAUGCAGUGAGAUAUU